GAUGAACGCUGGCGGCGUGCCUAAUACAUGCAAGUCGAGCGAACGGACGAGAAGCUUGCUUCUCUGAUGUUAGCGUCGGACGGGUGAGUAACACGUGGAUAACCUACCUAUAAGACUGGGAUAACUUCGGGAAACCGUAGCUAAUACCGGAUAAUAUUUUGCACCGCAUGGUUCAAAAGUGAAAGACGGUCUUGCUGUCACUUAUAGAUGGAUCCGCGCUGCAUUAGCUAGUUGGUAAGGUAACGGCUUACCAAGGCAACGAUGCAUAGCCGACCUGAGAGGGUGAUCGGCCACACUGGAACUGAGACACGGUCCAGACUCCUACGGGAGGCAGCAGUAGGGAAUCUUCCGCAAUGGGCGAAAGCCUGACGGAGCAACGCCGCGUGAGUGAUGAAGGUCUUCGGAUCGUAAAACUCUGUUAUUAGGGAAGAACAUAUGUGUAAGUAACUGUGCACAUCUUGACGGUACCUAAUCAGAAAGCCACGGCUAACUACGUG
rnacentral:rRNA from 1 species